CGCCGCGGGCGCGCAGAGGGGCUGUGGGCGCGCAGCCCCCGGCCCGGCUCCGCGCGGCGCUACCCGAACCCCGCGGCGGCGGUACGCGGAAGAAGGGAGAGGAAGGACCUACUUUUGGGCAGUUUUCUCGCCCUCGCCUUGGAUCUCAUCGUGUCGGCUUGCGGAUUCCUCUCCUCCUCCUUGAGCCCAGAAGCAGCUACACACUAUCUUCAUCUCCCAAGCAUUGUCAGUUUGGACACCUUCGCACAUGCGCACAGAGCAUUCAAUCUGACACCCUCACCAGGGCCAAAAAAACUUUCCAAUGUAUUCAUCAUCAUCGGGGUGGUUGGUUUUUUUUUCCCCUGUCCUAUCCUCUUCUCCAGACCACUUAUCUCUGCCCCCUCCUCUCUCCGAGCACCAGCGCAGCCUUCCCCCGAUCUGCCCCUUUAAGACAGACGCGCAGCGCUCCGACCCCUCCGCGCAGUGCCCCUCGGAGCGGACAGUGCCCGCGGACCCGGGUGCCAUCCCCGAACGAGGUGCCGCUGGGAGCGCUCCCGAGGGAACGGCCGCUGCCUCGCCGGGGAAGCCGAGAGACUCACGGACAGCCGAGAACAGGGGGAUGCCUUUCAGAACGACCGGGAAGCACGAGGACAGAAAAACGCGUUUUGAGCAUCAGCCGUGCUGCUUUGCGCUCUCACACCCUAUUUAUCUGCGCGCAAAAGCCGCGCAGCGCUCUCCUGCAGCUCGCUGCCCCACUGACACCUCUACACCAAAACACGCUCAGCAGACGUUGCCCUUCUUAUUUCUAGCACGAAGCUCUGGCUCUCCUAGCCCUGAAAACACGCGGUAUAAGCCGCCCGUUCGGAUUUUCCCCCCAAGCCUUCCCCAGCCCCAGGAAUUCCCCUGAAUUCGUUACGCUGCGCGAGGCCGCGCUUUGCAGGGCCGGGGAAGGUAACAUCGCUGUCCGAAAAGAACGAGUCUGGAAAAGAAAAGCGACGUUCACGUGCGAACAUCGAACUUCAACCGUAUUGCCAUUACCGCCGUAAAAGAAACGCAGCAGCUUUAUUUAUUCCAGGAGAGCGCGGCCAUUAAAGAGAACUUGAGGAGCCCUAACGAUUAUUUCUUUCAGACGUCGGAACGCGGCCGCGCAACGCGUGGGGAGGAAUGCGGGCGGGCAGCGGCGGGCGCUGCGGUGCGGAGCGAUGCGGGCAGCGGUCGGGGCGCCCCGCACUGAUUUCUCACCCCCCGCACACUGUGCCGCAGGUAACGCACGGGGCACGUCGGCUUUCCCCUCGCAGUUACCAGCACGGCCCUUCUCAAGGUGAAGGCGCGGAGCCGCCGCGGUCCCUCCGUGGGGCUGCAGCAGCGCAGCGCUCCGGGGGCUCGCGGCCCCCACACCCCAAAAGAUAUUUCCUUAAUUAAAGCUUUAUGGGGGCGGUAGGGUUAUAGGUGGGUGAGCGAACCGAACCCCGACAGCACUUCAGGCGCUGCCCGCCGGGAGGCCCCCGCCCCACCCGCUGUAAC
rnacentral:lncRNA from 1 species